rnacentral:rRNA from 1 species
AACGAACGCUGGCGGCAGGCCUAACACAUGCAAGUCGAACGUGAAGCCACCUUCGGGUGGUGGAAAGUGGCAGACGGGUGAGUAACGCGUGGGAACGUGCCUUUCGGUUCGGAAUAACCCAGGGAAACUUGGGCUAAUACCGGAUACGCCCUUCGGGGGAAAGAUUCAUCGCCGAAAGAUCGGCCCGCGUCGGAUUAGCUAGUUGGUAGGGUAAUGGCCUACCAAGGCAACGAUCCGUAGCUGGUCUGAGAGGAUGACCAGCCACACUGGGACUGAGACACGGCCCAGACUCCUACGGGAGGCAGCAGUGGGGAAUAUUGGACAAUGGGCGAAAGCCUGAUCCAGCCAUGCCGCGUGGGUGAAGAAGGCCUUAGGGUUGUAAACCCCUUUCAGCGGGGAAGAUAAUGACGGUACCCGCAGAAGAAGUCCCGGCUAACUCCGUGCCAGCCGCCGCGGUAAUAC